rnacentral:ncRNA from 1 species
AUGAUGCGUUGAACUAUAGUCAAUAUCUGGGCACUUUGGGCUAUAGGGAGCAAGUGGUGCAACCGGCAUUU